CGAGCUUAACCGAAUAGGGGAGGCGCAGCGAAAGCGAGUCUGAACAGGGCGUUCAGUAGCUGGGCGUAGACCCGAACCGGAUGAUCUAUCCAUGGCCAGGUUGAAGGUGCGGUAACACGCACUGGAGGACCGAACCACUAGCGUUGCAAAACUAGGGGAUGAGCUGUGGAUAGGGGUGAAAGGCUAAACAAAUCCGGAGAUAGCUGGUUCUCCUCGAAAACUAUUUAGGUAGUGCCUCGUGUAUCACUCUCGGGGGUAGAGCACUGUAAUCGUUGGGGGGGUCGUCUAGAUCUACCCCGCGAUAGCAAACUCCGAAUACCGAGAAGUGCAAGCACGGGAGACAGACAUCGGGUGCUAACGUCCGGUGUCAAGAGGGAAACAACCCAGACCGCCAGCUAAGGUCCCUAAUAUGUGCUAAGUGGUAAACGAAGUGGGAAGGCAUAGACAGCUAGGAAGUUGGCUUAGAAGCAGCCAUCCUUUAAAGAAAGCGUAAUAGCUCACUAGUCGAGUCGUCCUGCGCGGAAGAUGUAACGGGGC
rnacentral:rRNA from 1 species